UACGAAGGGAGCUAGCGUUGUUCGGAAUCACUGGGCGUAAAGCGCACGUAGGCGGAUGUGUCAGUCAGGGGUGAAAUCCCGGAGCUCAACUUCGGAACUGCCUUUGAUACAGCACGUCUUGAGUCCGAUAGAGGUGGGUGGAAUUCCUAGUGUAGAGGUGAAAUUCGUAGAUAUUCGGAAGAACACCAGUGGCGAAGGCGGCUCACUGGACUGGUAUUGACGCUGAGGUGCGAAAGCGUGGGGAGCAAACAGG
rnacentral:rRNA from 1 species